AGCGAACGCUGGCGGCAGGCCUAACACAUGCAAGUCGAACGGAUCCUUCGGGAUUAGUGGCGGACGGGUGAGUAACACGUGGGAACGUGCCCUUUGGUUCGGAACAACUCAGGGAAACUUGAGCUAAUACCGGAUGUGCCCUUCGGGGGAAAGAUUUAUCGCCAUUGGAGCGGCCCGCGUCUGAUUAGCUAGUUGGUGAGGUAACGGCCCACCAAGGCGACGAUCAGUAGCUGGUCUGAGAGGAUGAUCAGCCACACUGGGACUGAGGCACGGCCCAGACUCCUACGGGAGGCAGCAGUGGGGAAUCUUGCGCAAUGGGCGAAAGCCUGACGCAGCCAUGCCGCGUGAAUGAUGAAGGUCUUAGGAUUGUAAAAUUCUUUCAGCGGGGACGAUAAUGACGGUACCCGCAGAAGAAGCUCCGGCCAACUUCGUG
rnacentral:rRNA from 1 species